rnacentral:rRNA from 1 species
UUGAACGCUGGCGGCAGGCCUAACACAUGCCAGUCGAGCGGAUGAAGGGAGCUUGCUCCUGGAUUCAGCGGCGGACGGGUGAGUAAUGCCUAGGAAUCUGCCUGGUAGUGGGGGAUAACGUCCGGAAACGGGCGCUAAUACCGCAUACGUCCUGAGGGAGAAAGUGGGGGAUCUUCGGACCUCACGCUAUCAGAUGAGCCUAGGUCGGAUUAGCUAGUUGGUGGGGUAAAGGCCUACCAAGGCGACGAUCCGUAACUGGUCUGAGAGGAUGAUCAGUCACACUGGAACUGAGACACGGUCCAGACUCCUACGGGAGGCAGCAGUGGGGAAUAUUGGGCAAUGGGCGAAAGCCUGAUCCAGCCAUGCCGCGUGUGUGAAGAAGGUCUUCGGAUUGUAAAGCACUUUAAGUUGGGAGGAAGGGCAGUAAGUUAAUACCUUGCUGUUUUGACGUUACCAACAGAAUAAGCACCGGCUAACUUCGUG